ACCUUUAUUAUCCAACAGAGGAGGAGCAUUAGAUGGGGGAAGACCAAGAAGGGACUUAAUAGGAGAAGGUGGUGUUGAUGAGACGAAAGGGGGAAUGUCACUACGCCUUCGAUACGAAGAAGAAGGUCUUGGGAUAUCAUGACUUUUACACUUAUUUUUUCAAAUGGGAGGAACAUUAGACGAGAAAGGCUCUAUGAUAGACUUAUGACAAGGUGGUGUGAUGAGAUGGAUGAACGAUGGUGACUACGCUUUUCAUAUGGAGCACUAAUAAGUAACUCGUAGUCCCGAACUAAAGAAUAAGCGUGAUCAAGAGUAGUGACACCUCGAAAGAAGAGCUCACGCCUAAGUUCAUCUCUUAGGCCUUGUAUAAACCUAUUCAAAGUUGAGACUUCAUCCUCAAUGACACGAUGCUUCAUUUGAAACUCCUCAAAUUGAGCAAUAUACUUAAUCACUAACUGAUUCCCUUGUUUAAGGGCAUUCCAUUGAGUAAGAACUUCAAAAUCUAAGCAACCAUCAAAAGUAGAAGUGUCUCUAAAAGAACUCUCUUUAUGAUCGUAUUGAAAAUAUUUUUGAUCACCUUGUUGACGACGAUAUUGUCUAUUUUGGGAUACUUUAGAAUUAUUAACAUUAAUCGAAUGAGGGAUCUGCUUAAAAUUGUUCAGACUAGCAACUUGAUCUCUGCUCUUUUCAUGAGUAGCAGUCAUCUUGGUUUGAAAAGCUGCUAAUUGAGUUUGUAAGUAUUGCUGGCUAGUGACAAGUUGAGCUAAUUGUUUAGUGGGUUCCUCAAAUUGUGAAGAGUCCAUGUCUAGGUGCUGAAACGAGUAGUGACAAGACGACCAGUCGACCACUAUGCAUGCACUAUACUAGUAGCUAAAUGACAUGCAAUAGAGAGAUCAAUGAAUAAUAAGUACAAACAAUGAAAAGUAAAAACUUGAGCAUUUUUUUAAAAUCAAAAUUUGGGGUUAUGUUAAUCCAAAUGUAACAAGCUAAUAAUGCUGAUUCGAAUAAAAUAAAAGCAAGGAUACAAAUGGCGAAUCAAAAUCUUUAACCCCGUGGGUUAAGCAGGGUAAUGUUGGAAAUUAUUCAGUUAACGAUUCCAACCAAG
rnacentral:lncRNA from 1 species